AAGUCAGGAUUGAUAACAUGACCAUCCUAUCCUGGCCAAGUCAAGAUAACAUGACCACCCUAUCUUGACCAGGUCAUGAUUUAAUCUUGACCAAGUCAGGAUUGAUAACAUGGUCAUCCUAUCUUGGCCGGGUCAUGAUUCAAUGUUGACCAAGUCAGGAUUGACAACAUAUGCCCAUCCUAUCUUGGUCGGCCAGGAUUGCAUUGCGCCAGGAUAUAUUACUUCCAAACGCAGCCAAGAUUUCUUCAAGCGUCAAUCCUGGCCAAGUCAGGAUGUAUUUCUUCAAACGCAGCCAAGAUUUCUUCAAGCGUCAAUCCUGGCCUAGUCAGGAUAACAUUGCGCCAGGAUAUAUGACUUCCAAACGCAGUCAUGAUUUAUUCAAGCGUCAAUCCUGGCCAAGUCAGGAUGUAUUUCUUCAAACGCAGUCAAGAUUGCAUUGCGCCAGGAUAUGUGACUUCCAAACGCAGUCAUGAUUCGCUUUAGUAUGGUAAUAUGUAAGCGCUUCCCUAACACCGAAAAACCGCUAAAAUGUGUAUUGGGUUUCCAGCCUCCCCGUUCGUCUCAGCUGACAAGUAAGUACCACGUAACAGUAAUUUGUGUGUACUGAACCAUCAACAUAUUAAACUGCAGAUCCAUACCGGCCAAGACUGGUGAUAGAUAUGUAUAGUAUUUUAGAUUGACGCAUGCUCAGCUGACUGGGGACUAUGAGUAUGGAAAACCAUUUUGCAGAAUUAGGAAUGUGCAGCUGAAAGUGGUCAAAGAUCAAAGGCCAAGACUGAUGUCAGCUUGAAAGAAACCACUCUGUGUAUUGGAUUUGCGAGAUAAAAGAUGAUGAAUUAUUGCACCAGUUUCAAGUCCAAAGAUCGAAAAGCACCAUUUAGGUCAAGGUCAACUCCAAAUAUUGGUUAAAACCUAAUUUGUACCAACAACUGAUUCCAGAAGAGGGCAGUCUUGAUAGGACACCCAUAAAAUAGCUAAACAGGAUUGAUGUGGAAGUCUGGAUGCUUAGCUGUGCCACUGAUUUCAUUUCCUGUGGAUGUGUGCUUGGUGCAAUGCAAUAAGGACAUAUAACCCAUAGAAUUCACAUGAAUAAUAUGGAAAGAGAUUGCUUUGGCAAAACUCAUUUUAUAUAUUUUAGAAUAACUUUGUCAAAGACACUUGAUAUGGGUUUUAAUGAAGCACACUUACUUUGGUAUUGUUAAGUUAAUUGGAAUAUUUUCACUUUGUAUA